UAACACGAACCGUGCGAACGUUAUUCGGAAUUACUGGGCUUAAAGAGUUCGUAGGCGGCGUGUUAAGUUGGGUGUGAAAUCCCUUGGCUCAACCAAGGAAUUGCGCUCAAAACUAGCAUGCUUGAGGAAGACAGGGGUAAGCGGAACUGAUGGUGGAGCGGUGAAAUGCGUAGAUAUCAUCAGGAACACCGGUGGCGAAGGCGGCUUACUGGGUCUUUUCUGACGCUGAGGAACGAAAGCUAGGGGAGCGAACGGGAUUAGAUACCCCGGUAGUCCUAGCUGUAAACGAUGAGCACUGGGUCGAGGGGACCUUCACAUCCUCUCGGCCGUAGCGAAAGUGUUAAGUGCUCCGCCUGGGGAGUAUGGUCGCAAGGCUG
rnacentral:rRNA from 1 species